UAUACAAGACAUUUAGAAUUAAUUAUCUGGAGAAGCUCAUAUGCACAUAUACAACUACAUGGGAAAGCGUGUUUUUUUCAGUGUAUAUGUUAACCUUAAGUGUGUAUACGGUGAGAUAAAGGAACGCUGUACCACACCUCUAGGUAAUGCUUCAUUGUUUCCGAAGGAGCACAGAGCGAACAGAGUUCUGACCUUAGACCUGCUCCAGGAACUACAAGUUUCUCCUGACAGCUUUAUCAAGAACCUGGAAACGAGGAAAAUGGGCACUCGCUGUCAGGCCUCUUGUGACAGAUUUGUCUGUCUAAGCUCGAGGCCGGUGCUGAUAUGCAGCCACGUAACCUCAUUCAGACUGCUGUGCAACAAGAAAUGAUAAAAGCUGCUACGCAGAUCGAACCGGAUGUCUUCCACCUUCCAUCAACAGAAAGGGAAGAACUUGGUGUAAAAAGCACACCAAAGUGUGUCUGGUACAAAGCUUAAGAUAUCAAAUACAUACUUUCCCUAAGUAGUGAAAUACCUAAGAAAAAUCAGGAAUGAAUAUAUUUCUACAACGAUAAGAAAUCCUGCGCUGUGAAUCUAACCUCAGUAAACAGGACGCAGAAUUGUUAUCAAUAGAUAGUCUCUGAUUUCCUCAUGUUUCCAUGUCCUUCUUCUAUGCCCCGAAGCCAUAUGCUCGGAUCUACACUACAAGACAGUUAACAGCAGGGACGCAGGACCACCGCUAACACAGAUCAAAGAACGACUUCUUGAGACAUCAACAGAUUUUCCUCUUCUGGUGCCGGGAAAACCACCGGUCUCAGACCUUUUUCUCCCCCUACUACGGACCUAACAUACUCAUACUUUAUAGACAGCAUCCUUAGAAAUAAUCUGUGUCAGAAUACCGACCUGUUCCUACCCAAGUUCAAGAAAGCCUGUUCUCUGAACCAGCGUGCCUUUUGCCGAUUUACAAAUAGGUCUGCAAGGCUAGAAAAGUUACGUAAAGUUAAUAGAAAAUCAUUAAAGUGAAAAGAAAAAACAGAGCAAUAAGAAAAAUGAAUUAAAAAGUGAUCCAGCAUCUGAAAGCUGCAGAAGGGGCAGCACUCUCACGGGGCGUACAAAUGACUGCCAUUUCAUACUCUAACUUCUUCCAGACACUACAGCACAAGGGACUCAUCAACUGCGCCUGUUUAAAGGCUAACGACUAGGCUUAGCUAUGAGUCGGUCUCCUUCAAAGUGGCUGCUACGAUGCUAUGUUUUGAAGAAGUACAACAUUGAUAACACACCAAUGAUGUUUUUAGUUGUGACGGAAUAGUUCUGAACAGCGUCAAGAUGUUUUAGUUUUCUCAGCUUCUCUUACUGUCCAGGAAGAGGGCUGGGAGAAGCACAGGGAGCUG
rnacentral:lncRNA from 1 species